rnacentral:rRNA from 1 species
GAUGAACGCUAGCGGCAGGCCUAACACAUGCAAGUCGAGGGGUAGAGUUCUUCGGGACUUGAGACCGGCGCACGGGUGCGUAACGCGUAUGCAAUCUACCUUAUACAGGGGAAUAGCCCAGAGAAAUUUGGAUUAAUCGCCCCAGUAGUGUUAUCGAAUCGCAUGGUUUGAUAACUAAAGUUCCAACGGUAUAAGAUGAGCAUGCGUCCCAUUAGUUAGUUGGUAAGGUAACGGCUUACCAAGACAAUGAUGGGUAGGGUCCUGAGAGGGAGAUCCCCCACACUGGUACUGAGACACGGACCUAGACUCCUACGGGAGGCAGCAGUGAGGAAUAUUGGU